CAUAUAGCAUAAGUAGUAUAAAACAUAAUGUGUAACAACAAUUGAGGAUGUGUGCUUUGCUGGUUAGGAGUUCUGCUUAGUUAAAGGGAAGACGGGGUUCAAUUCUUGCUCUUUGCUUAUUUUUAUUUUUAUUUUUAUAUAAAACCAAAUAGAGAGCCACAGCGAGUCGCAUUGAGUUGCUCCUACUACUGGGUUUCCUAAUGACUUGGCUAGAAAUUUUGCUGAGUCUAGUUGACUUGGCUGAAUUUUGGGUUGAUUUGGCAAAUUUUAGAACUAUGAUUUCAUCUGCAGCUGCUACUCAUAUGUCAUCUCUUUGUACUUGUGAUUUGAUGGAUUCACAGAUUUCCUGUGUUCUGAACAGUUGGCACUUUCUUGUAGAUUUUGGUACCAAUUGCCAAUGGCUCAGUGGAGAUGGAAGUUGUUAUGAUAAUUGAUAUUCUGCGGAGCAAAGGCAAAUGUGGUGGUAGCAUCUAUCGAAGAUAAAUUAGAAAUAGUGGCAGCUAGAAAAGUGAAACUAGCGGCUGAUAUGCUCCUCAAGGAGGCUGACAAGCUGCAAUAUGACCUUAUUAUUUUCUUGAACAACCAUAUGAUCUUGAUCAAAGGCUGUUCCACUAGCGAUGGAAACUGCAUCUGCUUCAGGAACUUGUAGGGAUCAUCAAGCUUUCAGCACCAUCCAGUUUCAGUCUAUUUGAAAGCUGAAAAUUCAUAUGGAUUUCAAUGGAUUUCACUUGAUGAAACUGAGAUCACUCCCUACAGGAUGAUGGAAUAUACGAAGCUGUUGAAAUUUCAGGGUGAAGUCAAGCACAUUUCUCUAAUGAAGCCAAAGAUUU